rnacentral:ribozyme from 13 species
UAUGUUUCUCUUUCUCUUUUUUCUUUUCUUUCUUCUUUUUCCAACAUUUUUCUUUCUUUUCGUGCGGACUUUGUUCGCCAUAACGCUUUCAGUGAAGUUUCACAGUAUUGAGAGAAAACAAAAAAGAGAAACAAAGAGAAAAAAAAAAUUUCAAAAUGGCGGACAAUCAAAUGAAAAGAAAAGAAAAAGAAAGAGUGAUAACAGUAGAUGAAACAUUAU